GAGGUUAAGCGACUAAGCGUACACGGUGGAUGCCCUGGCAGUCAGAGGCGAUGAAGGACGUGCUAAUCUGCGAUAAGCGCCGGUAAGGUGAUAUGAACCGUUAUAACCGGCGAUUUCCGAAUGGGGAAACCCAGUGUGACUCGUCACACUAUCAUUAACUGAAUCCAUAGGUUAAUGAGGCGAACCGGGGGAACUGAAACAUCUAAGUACCCCGAGGAAAAGAAAUCAACCGAGAUUCCCCCAGUAGCGGCGAGCGAACGGGGAGGAGCCCAGAGCCUGAAUCAGCAUGUGUGUUAGUGGAAGCGUCUGGAAAGGCGCGCGAUACAGGGUGACAGCCCCGUACACAAAAGCGCAUGUGCUGUGAGCUCGAUGAGUAGGGCGGGACACGUGGUAUCCUGUCUGAAUAUGGGGGGACCAUCCUCCAAGGCUAAAUACUCCUGACUGACCGAUAGUGAACCAGUACCGUGAGGGAAAGGCGAAAAGAACCCCGGCGAGGGGAGUGAAAAAGAACCUGAAACCGUGUACGUACAAGCAGUGGGAGCACCCUUUGGGGUGUGACUGCGUACCUUUUGUAUAAUGGGUCAGCGACUUAUAUUCUGUAGCAAGGUUAACCGAAUAGGGGAGCCGGAGGGAAACCGAGUCUUAAUUGGGCGUUAAGUUGCAGGGUAUAGACCCGAAACCCGGUGAUCUAGCCAUGGGCAGGUUGAAGGUUGGG
rnacentral:rRNA from 1 species